rnacentral:rRNA from 1 species
UAUUUUAGUACCGUCGUUGUCUUGACCAGUGACCAUGUUCAACGGCCGCGGUAUCCUAACCGUGCGAAGGUAGCGUAAUCACUUGUUCUUUAAAUGUGGACUAGUAUGAACGGCACCACGAAGGUUAUACCGUCUCCUUUUUCUAAUCAGUAAAACUAAUCUCCCGUGAAGAAGCGAGGAUACACCUAUAAGAGGAGAAGACCUAUGGAGCUUUAAACAACACAGCAAUUACCUGCUAAACUAAAAAGUUUCUGAACAUUUUAAUCUUUUAAGUAAUCUGACUGCAAGUUUUUGGUUGGGGUGACCACGGAGCAUAACACAACCUCCAUGUUGAAAGAAUUCUUUCUAAGCCAAGAACAACCUUUCUAAGCAUCAAUAUAUUGACAUCCAUUGACCCAAUACAUUUGACCAACGAACCAAGUUACCCUAGGGAUAACAGCGCAAUCCACUUCAAGAGCUCCUAUCGACAAGUGGGUUUACGACCUCGAUGUUGGAUCAGGGUAUCCCAGUGGUGCAGCCGCUACUAAAGGUUCGUUUGUUCAACGAUUAAAACCCUACGGUAUAGGGACCUGGGGGGCCGUGACCCUAAAUACCACAUUCUUCGACUCUGCACCAGGAGGGGAUGCAAUUCACCAUCCACUACUAACCUGAUUUUCUGGAUUUUUUGGCGGCAAAAAAAAAA